UGGUACACAGCAAAAAAUAAUGUAAUCUGCCUCGAUGUAAUGCACUCGAUGUAUCAGUAAACCGACGUAAUCACUUUUUUCAGAUACAUAAUCACAUCAAUUUUGCACAAAAUUACAUCCACCUCAGCAUUACACAGAAAACCAAAAACGAUUCUCCUUUCCGUUGUAUCUGUGUAAUAUUCACAUCGAGCAAAUGCGAAUAUUACACAGAAACAGCUGCAACCAACUGGUUGCAUUGAAGUUGUGAGAAAUUACACAAAAACGAUGCUAUAUCGCAUCCCCCUAUGAUGCGAUAUUGCAUCUAGCAGCACUGACCGAUUGUUGUUAUCGGCCAGCGCAACAGACAAGCAGCAGCCAUUUUUGCUUCUCGCUCGAGUCGAUUGUUUUCUCUAUAAAUUAUUCAUAAUUUCCUUGAUUACGCUUGUUUUGGCUUUUCCGGGACACCGACCACCAAAAACAGAAGGGCAGCUCUCGUCAAUCGAAAUCUUGGAAGAACUUGACUUCCACGAGCUGGAGCAGCUGGACGAGGGUGGGAAAAAUCUUUGCAUCGCGGUUGGAGUUGGAGCGGAGCGCUUGGCAGACAGUAUGCCAUGGAAGCAGCAAAGCAAGCUGCUGGAAGCAGUUGCUUGGUAGCUGAUGGAAGGACCAGGUCAAUUGGAUGCAAUGCGACCGAAUCCCAACGUCCAAGCUGGAAGCUGGAGCUAUGUUCUGACGUGUGGACAAGAAGUUUGUUUAAAGCCGAUGGACCACGGAGCCUGGCGCGAAGCCUAUCGAUCGGAUGCUUCAGGAGAGUAGAACACAACGAUGGCUCUUGUACAAGCGGCCGUGGACGCCGGCACCGGGGGUUUAAAAUAUGAACAGGAUCCCGUCAGAGUCUGAGGAGGUUCCUGACAUUAUUAAAUUGCUCUUGUGAAUCAGCGAUAAGCAGGAUGAUAAUGCAUACGUCUUCGAGUCAAUGUUGCAUUCGCUCUGCCGCCGUCGGAAAACCGGAAAACCCGCUUUUAGCUAAUUAGCUCGACGAUCCGUAUCCGCAUUCAGCACGGGCGCCUCCCGGUCGGUUCAAGAUCCUCCUUGGGCAUACAGUAUUUCCGUGCCAGUGCCUGCCAUAAAUUUAAAAAUAGUUUAAAAAUAAAGCUUAGCUAAUUUUGAAAUGCCUAUAGACCGCCAGAUAAUGUGCAGGCUAUGUCCCAGUUGGGACGUAACGUCAGAAGGCAGAAGAAAAUAAUUGAAUAAACAACUUCUGGUACAAACUUA